AUUGUCUCUAGAUGGCAGUGCAGGAUAAAAUCAACCGAAGGAAAUUGUAAACAAAAGAAGAGCAGUUUUCAAAAAAAGACACGUUAUGUAGACGUGAGACUCAGAGUCGUAAGAAUACUGACAAAAGAAUGUUUCUUUUACCUACGCCGACUAUAAGUGUUUGCAUUACUCACGGCGGAAAUGACGAACGCAAGUGACAUCGCCAAACACGAUCGUCUGUGUCCACCAAUGAAAGGGAAACCGGAAAAAAAUCGUUUACGAUAAUCAACAUCCGUGUGUCUACAUAGAUAAUUACUAAAGUGAUUUAAUAAACAUGUUUACCAUUGUCCAGUCAUCACCGUCAAAGUCAUGCACAAUCGUGGUUUCAUGGCCAUUACCCCAAGUUUCCUUUUGAAUCAAUUUAAUCUUGUCACUUUCUUGCAGAUCGAAAACAUCCUGACAAACCACACAAACCCAUUAGUUGGUCAAACAAGAUGGUUGAACAGUUCUCGAAUAUCUUACAGUGACGUGCCGCCCGUCAGCGGCGACUCGUUUUAUUUGGACGCCGAGUCGAAACGUGAAAUCUGAAUCUUUGCUCAUUCCUCUCAAUCGCACCGUCCACUCAUCGCCAUCAAUUUGACAAUCGACACGAGGCACUUGGCUUAUGGCAACAGCCCGUUUUGCCAUACUGAGUCCUGUUUACAAAGAUCUGGUUACAAUAUAACUUACCAAUGGCUUUAAGAUACUCUUCGAAAUUUUCCUGGCUAACGAGAUAAUAUUUCCCGACUACCUGAGCCAUGAAAGCCGAUCGUUUAUGGUCGUGAUCUUGCAUCGUACGAAGAAUGUUCGUUGUGAUGAUGUGUGCUGCUCAGGUGACAGUCAACUGUCUCCUCCACUCGCAUGUGUGUACAAUUUAACCACAGUACAGGAAGAUUAUCGACGUAAACGAUCGGAUCAUCGCUGAAUCCUGUGUUGUUUAGCAACAACAGCUAGACAAACAAUUCAGAUCAUUAUUUAUUAACACCGUCAGAGCUGAAAACUCCUCCAGUAUCGAGCACAAUGUCGGUGAAUCAAUACGUGUAUUUUUUUUUUCUUUGAUCAGAUCAAUAUAGAAAGCAACAACGAGGUGAAGUUGUGAGUUUAUGCAAAAUAGGACAACAGUUUGUCGGAUUUUGACACAUAAACCGGCCGUUUUAUUCGCGUUUAAAACGACGAGUGCAACGGACAUCACCGCAGGUCAUCGUCUAUUCAAAUUAAAUGGACAAAUAUGAAUAUUCAUUUUUAUUAUUUAAACCAUCGUGUUCAACAUUACCGCUGUCCAAUCGUCCCCGUCUACCUCGUGGAUGAUAACAGCUUCCUUGUCACCCCAAAACUCUUUGGCAAUUAAUUUAUCUCCAUCGA